rnacentral:rRNA from 1 species
CAGCAGCCGCGGUAAAACAGAGGGUGCAAGCGUUAAUCGGAAUUACUGGGCGUAAAGGGCGCGUAGGUGGUUGCGUAAGUGAGAUGUGAAAUCCCCGGGCUUAACCUGGGACGUGCAUCUUAUACUGCGUAACUGGAGUGCAAGAGAGGGUAGUGGAAUUUCCGGUGUAGCGGUGAAAUGCGUAGAUAUCGGAAGGAACACCAGUGGCGAAGGCGGCUACCUGGCUUGACACUGACACUGAGGCGCGAAAGCGUGGGGAGCAAACAGGAUUAGAUACCCCCGUAGUCCCUGUCUCUUAUAC